AUGGAGCACUGGUGGGGCUUCUCACCUGCGGAGAGGAAAACGUGGGGCAACUGGAGUCAGUGUGGGCCAACAUGGAUCAAUACAGGUCAACGUGGGCCAAUAUGGAUCAAUGUGGGUCAACACGGAUCAAUACAGGUCAGUGUGGGCCAACAUGGAUCGAUACAGGUCCAUGUGGGUCACCAAGGGUCAACGUGGAUUGGAACAGGCCAACAGGCUCAACAUGGGCCAACAUGGGCCAAUGUGUGCCAAGAUGGAUCAGUACAGGUCAAAUAUGGGCCAACAUGGAUCAAGAUGGGCCAACACGGAUCAAUACAGGCCAACAUGGAUCAAUACUGGCCAACAUGGAUCAAUACUGACCAACACAGAUCAAUACUGACCAACAUGGAUCAAGAUGGGCCAACACGGAUCAAUACUGGCCAACAUGGAUCAAUACUGGCCAACAUGGAUCAAUACUGGCCAACAUGGAUCGAGAUGGGCCAACAUGGAUCAAUACUGGCCAACAUGGAUCAAUACUGGCCAACACGGAUCAAUACUGGCCAACAAGGAUCAAUACUGGCCAACAUGGAUCAAUACUGGCCAACACAGAUCAAUACUGGCCAACACAGAUCAAUACUGGCCAACAUGGAUCGAGAUGGGCCAAGACGGAUCAAUACUGGCCAACAUGGAUCAAUACUGGCCAACACGGAUCAAUACUGGCCAACACAGAUCAAUACUGGCCAACAUGGAUCAAUACUGGCCAACACAGAUCAAUACUGGCCAACAUGGAUCAAUACUGGCCAACAUGGAUCAAUACUGGCCAACAUGGAU
rnacentral:lncRNA from 1 species